AGCAGGAGGUGCAAGAGGGGAAGGAGGAGGGAGGGGGAGGAGGAGGGAGAGGAGGGAAAGGAGGAGGGAGGAGGAGGGAGAGGAGGAGGAGGGUAGCAUAGCGGCCUAGGCUGUGGCCUGGAGAGGGAACUGGAAGAGCUCUGUGAGGGACUCAUCCAUGGGGAGGACCCGGUGAGCAGGGAGGAUCCAUAGGAACUGUGGAGUGAGCUGUGGGUCUGGGGGCAGGUUUAGAAGCCUCCUGAUGAUCUGAGCCUUGGGAACGGAGGAGGUUGGUCAUGGCGCGUGUGCAAGGAACCCCACAGGAUCAAACACGGAACUUUGACAUGGGAGUAAUCUGUGGAGGAGUUCACAGGGAAAGGCAGGGCUGGAGAAUGCCUUGGGGGAGCAGUAGGGGGGCGGACACCUGCCUGAUGGAGGGUGUCCUCACGGAAAGUUCACCCUGGAUGAAGCCCUGAGACGGCGGGCUGUGAAGUCACCAGUGGUCCCAGAAGAUGCAAGGUGAUCACGCCCGCCCCUGGGCAAGAGGCACAAGGGAAAGACGCUCUGGACAGAAGUUUUGUUUACAACCCGCUGUAGGAGUGAAGCCACAGCACUGCGCUUGUGGGUACAGAACCCAGGCUGCCCGUCCCUUUGGGCCCUGCUGAGUUCAGUCUGGUUCAUCCCAGCACUGUAGGGACAGCCCUACAUUCCUGAGGUUCUGGGCCUGCCCCUCCUUUGCUGGUUAGAAAGUCCAGUUCAACAGGUAAGGGUAAUAAUGAAGGAUUCCCUACAACACCGGCUCCCCCAGAAACAAAUCACCAGCGGUUAGAUUUCUUGAAUUAGGCAGUGGCCUUGCUGAUGCUGCCGGUUACAAGAGGACAGGACUCUCAAUGGCGCCAGGUAAGUCACACGGGCUGAUUUCUUUUCUCAUCCACACACUCGUUCCUUUCUUAAGAGGGGUCCCUAGCUGCUGCAAGGGUCAGCGUGGAGGAAGGACCGGAGUGCAGGGCGCUUGUAUCUCAGGGCCUUGGGCGUUUCGUUUUGUCACAGGGGAACGAGCAGCUUCAAGGUCACAAAGUACCAGCUAGCGACCCCUGGGAUGCAGGACGCCCGACACCCGGCGCAUCCCAAGGCUUCCCCGGUAGUGCGGAGAAGAAAGCGAGUUGGAAACCAGAUGAUGCUCUGGAUACUGCAACUCAGGGGCGGACCAGAACCUGUCAAGUCCCUCCUCCGGGCUCCGCACGCACAGAGAACCGGGUCACCGCUGGCGUGCGAGCCUGGGGGCUGACCAGGGCGCGCUCCCGGGCGCCCGGGGUCGCGGCCCAGUCCUGCCCCCACGUGCGGGAGCGCAGAGGCGCAGAAGGACGGAGAAGGAGGGCGGAAGAGCACACAGCGCCUUUGCAGGUACGAGUCUGCCAGGCUCUCGAGUCAACGUCUUCCUGCUGGAGAAAAUUCAGACGGACUGAGCAAGAUAUUUAUGGAAAGUAGGGCAUUUUGGAAGCAUUUCGUAACUUCUCAGACGGGGACGACGGCACCUCCCGUGCGCGGAAGAGGCGAUGUCCCAGCCCCCCCCCCCCCCCCGAGCCCCCAGACAUAUGCAGGGUAGCGGGGUUACCCGGGACCGGGCGACCUUGGCGGGGCGGCGCGACCUUGAGGCCUGCGUUCGCCUCAGUUGUCCCUUCUGCUCAGUGGGGACACGCCCUGAUCGCCGGGUUGCGUGGGUCCGCCCGCGCCGCAGACCCCUCUCCCUGCGCGCCCUCGGGCUCCGCCGGUCCCCCGGGCCUCCGUCCCCGCGCCCGGCCCCCGUCCCAGUCCCCAC